AAGUCGUAACAAGGUUUCCGUAGGUGAACCUGCGGAAGGAUCAUUACCGAGUCCUCCUGUUUUGCAGGAACUCCCACCCGUGAUCAAUUCCACUGUUGCUUCGGCAAGACGUUGGAAACGGCCAUCGCCAUCUGAAAUCGACGACGAUGUGUGCUUGCCGGAGUCAUAAUCUCCUAAACUGUGUAGUAGUCAGAGAAAACAAGCAAUAAAUAAAAACUUUCAACAACGGAUCUCUUGGUUUUG
rnacentral:misc_RNA from 1 species